rnacentral:tRNA from 1 species
GCGGGUGUGGUGAAAUUGGUAGACACGCCAGACUUAGGAUCUGGUGCCGCAAGGCAUGGGGGUUCGAGUCCCUCCACCCGCA